UACGUAGGCAGCGAGCGUUGUUCGGAAUUACUGGGCGUAAAGAGUGUGUAGGCGGUGCUCCAAGUCUGUCGUGAAAUCUCCCGGCUCAACUGGGAGGGUGCGGCGGAAACUAGAGUGCUCGAGUGUGGGAGAGGUAAGCGGAAUUCCUGGUGUAGCGGUGAAAUGCGUAGAUAUCCGUAGGAACAUCCGAGGCGAAGGCGGCUCGCUGGAUCACAACUGACGCUGAGGGACGAAAGCUAGGGGAGCAAACAGG
rnacentral:rRNA from 1 species